AGGCUGUGACUUUUGCAAUAUGUAUUAACAAAAUCAAAUUGCACUUGUCCCGGCCUUC
rnacentral:pre_miRNA from 1 species